AGGAGGAGCCUGCAGACCAGAACACUAUCCUGAUCCUCCAUAACAUCGCUCUCGUUCAUCAAACCAUCUCAGAGAACCAGAGAAGUCUGGUUACCUCAUAUAAUCCAAAUCCUUACUCUGGCCCAGGAAACAAUCUGAUUAGGAAUGUGUGGAAGGCGGUGAAGGAGGAGGAGAAGAUGGAAGAAAAGGAGGAGGGAGAGAGGCAGCACCACCCGUGUCAUGUAUCUUGAGUGGAAUUCAAACCCAGGGUGCUGAGCAGGCAGGGCAGGGGCUCGGCUUCACUUGCUGAACUUCACAGAGCCAUCAGACCACAGACGAGACCAACAGCAGCAUGCUUAAGACUGAGCAGAAAUACACCUGAAGAAAGCUGAACCUGAACGUACACACAUUGCUCGGUUCUUGGCUGCUGCAAGAAACCUUAAGGAGAAGGAGGUGGUGAAUUUCAAGCACUGCCAACAAAUGUUUAUAAAAGGUAAAGAAGAACCACAGAAAGGAGUUUUGAUAACAGAUCAAGAAGAAAAAUCAGUCAAUACAAUCUAACUGGGAAAAAAAUAUGGAGCACCUUCCACAGACAAAAGGCAAAGGGGUCCUGAUGUUUGCAAGACGGCGUCAAAGGAUUGAUGAAAUCGCUGCAGAACAUGAGGACCUCAGGAGUAAAGGCAUACCUGUGGAAGCAUUUGUGGAACCUGAGAUUGACCCGUCCUCAAAGCCUCAGGUGAACAUUCCACCUCUCCAACAAAAUGAACAAGUCAAGCAUCAACUAACGUAUCAGGAUCAUCAAACACAACAGCAGAUCUUUCUCCAGCCUGACACUGGUAUUAAUGGUCUGGAUUCCUGUCAAGAUUCUUCAACAUCCAAACCACUCGUGUCCAAUAGAACAGCUAAGCCUUUUCUGAGCGGUCUGAAUCAAUCCCCAGCACAAUUUUAUCCUGUCAGAAAUGUCCCAAGCCCAACAAUAAAGAUAUCUGAAAAUGUGUUCAAAGUUCCAGUUCCAGUAAACACAAGCCCACAGGUGUGGUCACCCACAGGAGAUAUAAUCGCUUCUCGUGAUGAACGGAUUGCUGUACCGGCUAUCAAGAGUGUAAUUCUGCCUGAAAUGAAAAAAAGAGGAAAAAAUAAAACCAACCCUAAUGAACCCCCAGAGGAAGAUUACUUUAGUCUUGGUGCAGAGGCUUGCAAUUUCAUGCAAGCUCCAACCCUCAGACAGAAACAACCUCCACCAGUUCUUCCCAAGCCUACAAUCAACCCACAUUGUCCCCCAUGGUCUCCAGAAGAUAAUGCCGCUCACAGUCCCCUUACACCAUCAAGUCCUCUUCCUGUACAACAGACCUGGUCUCCACCUCAUCCACCUCAAUCUCAGCCAGCUACCAAACCCUGGGCUCCUUCACCAGCUCGGCUCACACCACAGCAGCAUGUGUCUGACUAUUUACCAACCAAACCAUCAGCUUCGUAUAAACCUACCUGGUCAUCAGAACCACAACAGCCCCUCACUUCAGCAUCUCCCUCACAGCCAAGGUUCCCAAGGGCUAAACCCCAAAGUACCAGUUCUGUGGUUUCCUGCCCACCCCAACAAGGAAGAUCAUAUUUCCGUCCGUCCAAAGCUCCACCAAUUUCUUCAAUCUCAGAAAUAGGGUCCUCUGAUGGCCAAGUGCUUAAGGGCAAGGGUGCACAACUUUUUGCUAGACGACAGUCCCGUAUGGAGAAGUUUAUAAUAGAUGCUGAAACUGUCCAGGCCAACAUAGGCAGGUCCCCCUCACCCACGCUGUCCAUGCCAAGCACCUGGAAAUAUUCUUCCAAUGUCCGAGCCCCUCCUCCUGUCUCCUAUAACCCCAUAGUGUCACCUUUCUAUCCUCCGGCAGCACAGAAGCAAUCUCUUCCUGCAGCAAGCUCAAAUGUGAAGCCCAAAGGAAACAUGGAAAAACCAAAGACCGCGGCAAAAACUCUGAGUGUUAUGGAUGUGAUGAAGCAUCAGCCGUAUCAGCUGGACUCAUCCCUCUUCACCUACAGCUCCAACAAUGAAGCCAAGGGUUCGAGCCCCAAAACAUCUCCUGCUCCUCCUGCAGAGUUAAAGCAAACCCAGGGCUAUCUGCAAGCCUCGUCCCCAGUCCCUUUUUUGGGAAGUGGCCAGUCUUUUCAGCAAGGUGCCAAACCCAGUGGACCGGUGAGUGUUCCUUAUCCCUUCACUCGUCAGUCCACUUCAGCUGAAGCUUGUCCUGCUGCACAGCCUACAGCACCAGCACCAUGCACCAUGUAUCCUGGCCCAAUAAACAAAGCCUCCAGGAGCAAAUCAACUCCUCCCACUAGGACUGGGAGCAAUGCUUUUCUGUCCACUUCCUCUUUCCCUCUAAAUAGUGAAAUUACUUCUAGAUGUAGCGUGCUAUUGGCUCCAAAGCCUAAGUUUUCUGCGAAAAAGCCAGCUGUUGUUGGAAAGCAGUGGAAACCAGUCGUAAUGUUGCACUAAAAGCAGAGUUUACAUUGAAAAAGCACAAGUGGGAAGCUACUGAAAAUAACGGCAAAGAGUCGAGAUUAUUUUAAGAUACUAAAUAUAGUUAGUUAGUUAGUUAUGUUAAAGAUAGUUAGAUAGCUAUGUAGCGUACUUCGUCUCACGCCACAGAGAAAUCCCACAACACUAUCUGCAGUUUAUUAAAGACAGGAUAAGGAUUAAUACAAAUCACAACACACCCUCAGUUCUGUAGAGUCUGCCUCAUCAUGUCCAAGCUGUUCUGAGUAUUUAUUAGAAAUACUCUUUUACUUUACAGUUUCACAUUUCACUCAUUUCCAUCAAACCAUGCCUCACAUUACACUGUACCACAUUACACACACAUUCUUAAACACAUUCAAUAAAAUUCACAUAGGUUCAAUAUACUAACAUGUUACAUACAUCAUACUUUGAAACCUCUUUACAGAAUUACAUUUCAGUCUAAACUCUAUAAAUCAGUCUAAGCAUAUGAUUGUCAUAUAGUGGUAAUAUUAUUGCUGAGAUUCGAUGUACCUGCAGUUUAUACCUGCACACCCUCAGUCCUGUAGUCUCUGUGAGGAGUGUGAAGAGAGAGGAAAGUAAACCCCUGACCCCAUUAACACUGCACCUGUAUCUGAUCAUCUAAUUCAAAUAUACACACAGCAUUUCAGACAUAACAGGGAAAUAUACUUCAACAAAAUAAACUGCAUGAUGUUUUUGAAACUCCACCAUUUUGUGCAUUUUUACUAAGCAAUAUGAAAUAAACCUGAAGUUUUAAAAUGGCAUGCAGAGCGGAAACUUCAGCCCAACUUACACAGCUCGUUAACACUAAACUCCAAAUAUACACAGCAACAAUUAGCUAGCAAAAAUUGAGCACAGUAUGUGAGUCAAUCGAACAUAAAAACAUGCCAUCCGAGGAUACUGACCAAAAUCUUAACUUAAUCUGCUAGAUUUUAGCACUUUACUACAGAGUCCAUUCGCAACAUUCCCGCCUCGCUCAUGACCGAAGCUGUUGUGAGCGAUGGUGGGGAAACAAUUAGGCAAUUACACAGGCGGAAAUGACAUCACUCACACAUAAACCUCAAUGUAUUACUUUAAAACAAAAAUGCAAUUACCCACGAUAUUGUGACAUGAAUAGCAAUAUACACAAAGAAACAAAAAUAAGAUGAAAAUAAGUAUAAUCAAUUCCUAUGGAAAAUUACUUAAAGUUUGCUGGAAUAGUCACAUGACCUAAAAGACUACACUUAUUUCUGUUAAAGAUAGUUAGUUCUGUUAAAGAUAGUUAAAUAGUUAGAUAGUUCUGUAACAGAAUUAGUUUGUGGUUCAAGCUGUGGAAUUCUCAGCUCCAUGGAAUGUCUCUACAUGUUAAUGAGGUUAAUGAGAUGUUUUUGAAAGAGAAGUAGUGGUGCAGUCUGUGUAUAGAAGGAGAAACAAAGGUUUUUUAUUUGUUUAAAGGAAAAGAAUACAUUACUUCAGACUCGUAUUUAUUUCAUACUGAAUAAGACAGAAAGAGAUUUAUUUCUAAUCUCAGGAGAAUAUUGAAUGGUUAUAGCCAGGUGAUGAGGUUUAUAUUAAAGUACUUUAGAUGAGAUAAUGUUGUUAUUGUCUUUACUUUGUGAGGGUUGAAUACAGUGUCCGCAAAGUCAGGAGAGGAUUUCACCUGGUGAUAAAAGAACUGCUGGACAAUGUAAAGGCCGUGUUUGGAUCUCACAUGAUUUGGAGUUUGGUUUUGAAAUGACAAACUAAAUAGAAAAAACUGAUGGAACUUCUGAAGUGUUCUUCUUCAGUCAGUUGUUUAUGUUCUUUUGUUUUUGUAGCUUUUUAAGGUUUCUUCUUCCUUCAUUAUGAACUCAUUCAGAGUUUCCCUGCUGAGCAGAAAGUGAUUUUUUUAUAAACACAAUCCAGUUCAUGAAGAACAGCCCUGUUUCUCAUCUGGUGUAAAAAUAAUAAUAAUAUGAUCCUGGUUUACAUCGUCUUCCAUUUGGUCUGUUCUUCUUAUAGUUCCCGAAAAUAUUGCACUUCUUCUUGGACUUUUUCCUUACCUUAUUAAAAAUUUCUGCAAGCUCUGUCUGCCUUCUUUCUUUAUUUCUUUCUUUCAGCUCUGUGUCUUCUUUUUUGUCUUUUUUCCUGCACAGUUCUGUAGUCACGUUUGUGUUUGCCCAUUUAGCCUCGUCUUCUUACAUAUAGAAAAUUAUUAUUUUUUUAAUAAUUCAUUCUUUCUCCAGAAUAAAUUCUAAACUCAGACCCUGAGACCAUGUCAGAUAAUAAUUCACAAUUUUAUUAUUUUGAUCACGUCAUGAAGAAAGAAAUUGUCUAGAAAAUAAACAAUUUAUACUUUAUUUAUUUAUAGUGGUGAGCACUUAUAUUCACCACUAAUAAUAAUAACAAUAACAACAAUAAUAAUAAUAAUAACAAUAAUAACAAUAAUAAUAAUAAUAUAAUAAUAAUUUUUUCCUGACUUAUCUCAGUGAUAAUAAAGGAAUCGUGAUUAGAUAUUUUAUAGACGGUUAGUUCUUGUGCUCUCGGGCUUCUGGACACAUUUGUCUCAUGGACGCCGAGUUUUAUUCUAAUCUUCUGCCUGCUUGUUGUUCACGUUACACUGCAACAGAGCUCACUCCUUCCUAAAUAUAGCAGCACAUGCGUCUAUCUUUACCACACGCUCUCCUUAUUAAACACAGCUUCUGCUCAGGAACUCGAUAAGGCCCACAGCUGCCAGCUCGCCCGGGCCUGUAUCACAGAGGUCUACAGCCGGAGCCGCUCGAUGUCUCUGCCCCGGAGACACUCCUCCAUGUCCACUGUGUCUCCGGUGUCCAGUCCAGGUUUCCAUCCCAGCCGUGGACUUGUGGACAGGCAGAUGUCCUGGGCCGAAGCUCCCCGGA